CAGAGAGGUACUGGAUCUGGCCGAAUGGGUUCUGGAACAAAACAGUCCAAAACGGAGAGGUGCCGGAUCCUGUUCUGGCAAGAUCCUGCUCAAAUUAAGCACUGGUGGUAGGCUAUGUAUUGUACAAGGAUACAAUCAUUUUUAUUCCUUUUUUUUUUUUUAACACUUGGGCUCGUAAGUCUAUGCAUAUAGAAUCCUUAAUAUGCAUAUGGGUGUUUUGAAUUAAUCAUCACCUUGACAGCUGUCUAUUUCGUUGUGCUAGGUUUGGAAAUUUUAACAAUUACCGUGUUUUACUCUGUUUCAACCUUCUAAUCAUCACAGUGAGGGGAGUUUUAAAAGCAUGAUACUGUUUUGAUGAUAAGUGUUUGAUGUGAUUUUAGAUUGUAUUUGCAUUGAUGUCCGAGUGGUUAGAGGAACAAUAAAGCCCUGAGUACCAGGCCAUAGGACCUGAUUGGUCAUUAGCAAAUGACAUACUACCAAAGCAUGUCCAGAGUGCAUAACAGGGGAUUACAUGGUCACAUGGAAUUUUACUGCGGACAUGACUUAUGAUUGACAGACUGAUGGUCUUUCUGCAAUCUGGUGCAGUAAUGCUUAUUUCUGGACACAGUCCCUCCUUUAACUCUAUCUUGCUUCACUCCUCUUCUCACUCUCUCUAAUUUUUCUCCUUUUACUUUGUCCAAUUUCCAUCCUGUUAUCCUCUUGCACCCAUCUGUCCUUUCCUUUCCCUCUCCUCUCCUUUCUCAGUUGUACUUGCUCAACUUCUGCAUCCUCUCUCCUCCGUCCUCUCUCGCCCUUGAUUCGAAAAAGGUCAAAGGAAAUCCAGGAGAGGCGGCCAGUAGAAGGAAUGUGGACGGAAAUGUGCUUGUAUGAAAUGACACUCCACUCCACUUGCACAAAUUACAUGUACGUGGUGAAAUAACAAAAUAAAUGUCAUAAAACAAAUGUAGCUAGUUGUUGAAGACAUUUUAUAGAUAAAAGAAUAAGUAGCAUAUCGUUUGCAUGAUUUUCUCCUUCGAGAACACAAUUCUUCAAAGGACUCAGAUAGGAUACACAUGACUAUCCUCGAUGAAAGGUGGCUAUCGAAGAGGGGAGGACACUCUUCCAACUAAAAAAUGUACAUUCUCCUCCACCACUUAUCGGUUUCUGGGUCAAGGAGGAGAGAGGAUGAAGGACGGACUUUUGGCCAAAUGAAAAAAGGCCCUAAUGUUAGACAUCUGAUGAUCCAAAAAGGCAAGAGGCCUGUAUAUUGCAGAGAUAAUUCUUAGUAAACUAUACAGGCCUACAAACAUUUAGAGGCAAGAGCAGAUCAUAACAUUAGGUUGCAGCAGACCGCAUAACAUUAGGUUGCAUCAGAUCAGCAUAACAUUUAGGUUGCAUCAGUUCAGCAUAACAUUAGGUUGCAGCAGAUCAUAACAUUAGGUUGCAUCAGACAGCAUAACAUUUAGGUUGCAUCAGUUGAGCAUAACAUUAGGUUGCAGCAGAUCAUAACAUUAGGUUGCAUCAGAUCAGCAUAACAUUAGGUUGCAUCAGAUCAGAAUAACAUUAGGUUGCAUCAAUUCAGCAUAACAUUAGGUUGCAGCAGAUCAUAACAUUAGGUUGCAGCAGAUC
rnacentral:lncRNA from 1 species